UAGUCCACGCCGUAAACGAUGUCUACUAGCUGUAGGGGUACUUGAGACCUUUGUAGCGCAGCUAACGCACUAAGUAGACCGCCUGGGGAGUACGACCGCAAGGUUAAAACUCAAAUGAAUUGACGGGGACCCGCACAAGCAGUGGAGCAUGUGGUUUAAUUCGAAGAUACGCGCAGAACCUUACCAACACUUGACAUGUUCGUCGCGAGCCUAAGAGAUUAGGCUUUUCAGUUUGGCUGGACGAAACACAGGUGCUGCGUGGCUGUCGUCAGCUCGUGUCGUGAGAUGUUGGGUUAAGUCCCGCAACGAGCGCAACCCCUACUUUUAGUUGCCACCAUUUAGUUGGGCACUUUAAAAGAACUGCCAGUGAUAAGCUGGAGAAGGUGGGGAUGACGUCAAGUCCUCAUGGCCCUUAUGUGUUGGGCCACACACGUGCUACAAUGGUACUUACAAUGGGAAGCAAAGAGGCGACUCUAAGCCAAUCCCAAAAAUGUAACCUCAGUUCGGAUUGUACU
rnacentral:rRNA from 1 species